UGAGGACAAAGGAGCUGCUCUGACUCUUUG
rnacentral:piRNA from 1 species